AGUCGAACGGUAGCAGGAAGUGCUUGCACUUUGCUGACGAGUGGCGGACGGGUGAGUAAUGCUUGGGAACUUGCCUUUGCGAGGGGGAUAACAGUUGGAAACGACUGCUAAUACCGCAUAAUGUCUACGGACCAAACGGGGCUUAGGCUUCGGCGCAGAGAGAGGCCCAAGUGAGAUUAGCUAGUUGGUGGGGUAAAGGCUCACCAAGGCGACGAUCUCUAGCUGUUCUGAGAGGAAGAUCAGCCACACUGGGACUGAGACACGGCCCAGACUCCUACGGGAGGCAGCAGUGGGGAAUAUUGCACAAUGGGGGGAACCCUGAUGCAGCCAUGCCGCGUGUGUGAAGAAGGCCUUCGGGUUGUAAAGCACUUUCAGUUGUGAGGAAAAGUGAGUAGUUAAUACCUGCUCACCGUGACGUUAACAACAGAAGAAGCACCGGCUAACUCCGUGCCAGCAGCCGCGGUAAUACGGAGGGUGCGAGCGUUAAUCGGAAUUACUGGGCGUAAAGCGCACGCAGGCGGUUUGUUAAGCUAGAUGUGAAAGCCCCGAGCUCAACUUGGGAUGGUCAUUUAGAACUGGCAGACUAGAGUCUUGGAGAGGGGAGUGGAAUUCCAGGUGUAGCGGUGAAAUGCGUAGAUAUCUGGAGGAACAUCAGUGGCGAAGGCGACUCCCUGGCCAAAGACUGACGCUCAUGUGCGAAAGUGUGGGUAGCGAACAGGAUUAGAUACCCUGGUAGUCCACACCGUAAACGCUGUCUACUAGCUGUUUGUGGCUUUAAGCCGUGAGUAGCGAAGCUAACGCGAUAAGUAGACCGCCUGGGGAGUACGGCCGCAAGGUUAAAACUCAAAUGAAUUGACGGGGGCCCGCACAAGCGGUGGAGCAUGUGGUUUAAUUCGAUGCAACGCGAAGAACCUUACCUACACUUGACAUGCAGAGAACUUUCCAGAGAUGGAUUGGUGCCUUCGG
rnacentral:rRNA from 1 species